GUACUUCAAGUUAAGUUCACUACAUUCCUUUCCUGAUUCGGGCCUGGUGAGUAAUGGCUGCAAACACGUCUCUAGGAGCAGUGUGUGUAGCCUAAGCUUGUGUGGGUUUCCAUGAGGAUCUGUGGAGACUGUU